GUGAGGAAUUUUGCGCAAUGGGGGCAACCCUGACGCAGCGACGCCGCGUGGAGGACGAAGUCUUUCGGGAUGUAAACUCCUGUCAGUGGGGACGAUAAUGACGGUACCCACAGAGGAAGCACCGGCUAACUCCGUGCCAGCAGCCGCGGUAAGACGGAGGGUGCAAGCGUUGUUCGGAAUUACUGGGCGUAAAGCGUAUGUAGGCGGCAAGUUAAGUUCAAUGUUAAAGCCCACGGCUCAACCGAGGAGAUGCAUUGAAUACUGGCUAGCUAGAGGGUGUUAGAGGAAGACGGAAUUCCCAGUGUAGCGGUGAAAUGCGUAGAUAUUGGGAGGAACAUCGGUAGCGAAAGCGGUCUUCUGGGACAUACCUGACGCUGAGGUACGAAAGCGUGGGGAGCAAACGGGAUUAGAAACCCUUGUAGUCC
rnacentral:rRNA from 1 species